UCCCUGGUGGCUCAGAUGGUAAAGAAUCUGCCUGCAAUGCAGGAGACCCGGGUUCAACCCCUGGGUUGGGAG
rnacentral:tRNA from 1 species